rnacentral:lncRNA from 1 species
UUUCUGCUGAGCCAAAAUGAUCAGCCUUUCAAAAUUGAUCUAUGCUUCAAAAGUCUGUCAGAUGAUCCUAGGCCAGAAGGUUGAAGACUUGUUCUCAUGUGUUACUACAGGGAUCUGUACAAAUAAACAGUUGUCUCUUCAACCUUACUCAGUUCAGGGAGCCAGGCUAGGCUUCCUAUAUUUUCAUAUAAUAUUGGUCAAUUUCAUAUUUCUGAUGGAGUUGGAACUAGUUAUACUCUCAUAGCCUACCCAGACUGUUUAACUUUGAGGAUACAUAUUUAAUUAGAUAGGUGUCAGAUAAUAUAGAAGCUAGCCAUGGAUUUUAAGCUUUCCUUAAGCUGCAAUAGAUAACUAAAUGGUCUGUUUAAUUGAUAAAAUGUUUCAUUGGGCGUUAGGUAUAUUUUCUACUUUUAAAUUACAAAAUGAUAAUAGUUGUACUCAGCUUACAUUUGAGAGAAAAGUUUUGUUAAUUAGACUGAAAGGAUGAAGUGUGAGUUGAUGUCAUUACGCAGGUGAAUAAGAUAGAUAAAAGUCAGACAAGAUAAAAGAGGCCUGUGGUUGAACGAGAAGGAAGGGAGGGAACAGUGGUUUGAGAAGAGAAGGAGAAGCAGGAGAGAAGGGCUGGAUGGGGGAAAGGAGCUGGGAGAACAUGGCGCCAGAUGUUAAAAUAAUUCUCUGAUCAGAGAUACUGGAUGUUGUGACUAGUUUUAAGAGAAAGGUGUUUACAGGAUUUUGUGCUGUCUAGAUGG